UGCCAAAUGUGGCAAGUCACCGACAAGUGAGAGAAUUAGCGACCAACACGUUCGUUAGUGACGUGGCAAACUUACCAUGUCACCAAUUUUUCCUAGGGGAAGAAAUGUCCCGCGCAGAAUGGUCCUCUUCAUUUUCUCUCAAGCUCUCUCACUCUACUCUCUCUCUCUCUCUCUCCACCAGUACUGCGGCUUCUCUCCUCCACGAGCACCGCCGGCCAACCCACGACCACGAUCUCUACGGUAACUCUUGUCUUCUCCUUCACGGUCAAUGCAGAACAGCUCCUCUCUCUUUCUCUGUGCUAGCAUCUCUGGACCUACUGUUCUCAUACUACAUUGCUGUGGAUAGGUCGGAGGAAAUGAUCAAAAGAAUACUUGGGUCUUCAGCUGCCGGAGGUGUAUCAGCCUUGAUGGUUGGGUUUUUGUUUUACUUUUGUCUUAUUUUCAUGCCUUCCAUAUUUACCAUUUUGUGGAGAAAUAGUUGCCUUUGGUGAGCUAUGAUUUAUUUGUCUUAUGUUUAAUUCAUUUGCUGCCAAAGGAGUUGAACCUAAGGUUUUGUUACUGCACUGUUUUGUCAUCAGGAUUACUUUUUGUUUGGGAAGAGAGGUUUAGAAAAACAGUGGGCUAACCACUUUGGCUGCUUUUCCGGUAUUGAACUUCCAUCUUUUUUU